UACGGAGGGGACUAGCGUUGUUCGGAAUUACUGGGCGUAAAGCGCACGUAGGCGGAUUUGUAAGUCAGGGGUGAAAUCCCGGGGCUCAACCUCGGAACUGCCUUUGAUACUGGCAAAUCUCGAGUCCGGAAGAGGUGAGUGGAAUUCCUAGUGUAGAGGUGAAAUUCGUAGAUAUUAGGAAGAACACCAGUGGCGAAGGCGGCUCACUGGUCCGGUACUGACGCUGAGGUGCGAAAGCGUGGGGAGCAACAGG
rnacentral:rRNA from 1 species